CUUAACGACAGAGAAAACGCAAAUAGACCAAAGGCAACCCCACGUGACCUCACUACCAACAUAACGGUUUAAAACUUCUACUGAUCAUUUUUUAGGUUAUGUUUAGCGGAAUUGUAAGGAUAUUAGCUUAUAUUUUAUCAACAAACUGAACAGUCAACAUGUUUAAGAUGUAACAAAGUACAGUAGAUACAAAAUUAUUCAUUACUUGGUAGGUUUAUUCUUAUAAAUAAGACCUUCUUUAGCAGAAGGCUAAUCAAACACAAAGACAUAACAUUGAUGAAUUCGUUUAAAACAGAAAGUUGAAACGGUUAAUAGUAUGAUUAGGCUAUUCAUCACUGUACCAGAGAAUAACAGGCUGAUUGAGCUAUGGUUGAAACUUGCUCUUGGGUUUAUCUUGCUAGUUUAUGGCUGGUGAUCACAGUAUCAAGUAUCUGGUCACAGUCAACUUCAAAUCAGGUAAAAAGAUUCAAGAAGUCCAAUCGCCUUAUGAUGAUUAGUUUGAUCAUGAGGUUCUCUACCUGGGGAUGAACAACUUGCCCGUGAGAGAGAGAGGCCAGUAACCAUUGCAGAGCGGAUGAUCAAGCUGGUUAAGAAAAUCCACCACAAGCCCAAUAGUGCUCUAAUUAACAUGUGCAUCAUUCUGCCAAGGAGUGAGAACAGUUUCAAAAUUGCCGGAAGUGAUGAAGAAAGAAUAGACUUCUGGAAUGGCAAAGCAACCUCGACGAAAGUCAUGUAUCGACAAUAUUGUGUAAAAGGCACCAAAAUAUAUCACAAAGGCCGCAA
rnacentral:lncRNA from 1 species